AGUCAAUAGAUACCCGGGUAGUCCAUGCCGUAAACGAUGAUUGCUAGGUGUGGGGGGUCUAACCCCUUCCGUGCCGGAGUUAAACACAGUAAAGCAAUCCACCUGGGGAGUACGGCCGCAAGGUUGAAACUCAAAGGAAUUGACGGGGGCCCGCACAAGCAGUGGAGUAUGUGGUUUAAUUCGAAAGCAACGCGAAGAACCUUACCAGGUCUUGACAUCCACCGAAUCCUGUAGAGAUACGGGAGUGCCCUUCGGGGAACGGUGAGACAGGUGGUGCAUGGUUGUCGUCAGCUCGUGUCGUGAGAUGUUGGGUUAAGUCCCGCAACGAGCGCAACCCUUGUGAAUAGUUGCUACGAAAGAGCACUCUAUUCAGACCGCCGUUGACAAAACGGAGGAAGGUGGGGAUGACGUCAAAUCAUCAUGCCCCUUAUGACCUGGGCUACACACGUACUACAAUGGCCGUUAACAGAGGGAUGCAAUGCCGCGAGGUGGAGCGAACCCCUAAAAACGGUCUCAGUUCAGAUUGCAGGCUGAAACUCGCCUGC
rnacentral:rRNA from 1 species